UGCGUAACGCGUAUACAAUCUACCUUUACAGGGGAUAGCCAGAGAAAUUUGGAUUAAUACCCAUGGCAUAUAUUUAUGGCAUCAUAUAUAUAUUAAAGAUCCAUCGGUAAGGGAUGAGUAUGCGUUCUAUUAGCUAGUAGGUGCGGUAACGGCGCACCUAGGCUACGAUAGAUAGGGGCCCUGAGAGGGGGAUCCCCCACACUGGUACUGAGACACGGACCAG
rnacentral:rRNA from 1 species